rnacentral:rRNA from 1 species
CCCUUAGAUGUUCUGGGCUGCACGCGCGCUACACUGAUGCAUCCAACAAGUCUUUUCCUUGUUCGAGAGGACUAGGUAAUCUUAUGAGAAUGCAUCGUGAUGGGGAUAGAUUAUUGCAAUUAUUAAUCUUCAACGAGGAAUUCCUAGUAAGCGCGAGUCAUCAGCUCGUGCUGAUUACGUCCCUGCCCUUUGUACACACCGCCCGUCGCUCCUACCGAUUUCGAGUGGUCCGGUGAAUCUUUUGGAAUUAGAGUGCAAACUCAAACCAAGAUCGAUAAACCUUAUCACUUAGAGGAAGGAGAAGUCGUAACA